rnacentral:lncRNA from 10 species
CACUCAGCUUUCUGAAAUGGUGUCCCACCGCAAGGACUGGAGAAGGCGCCCAUUGCUAGUUGCUUCCUGGAGGAAUUUCCCAAAAUAAAAGUGCCUAUCCACAAAUCCUUCUCCUGAGGCUGCUUUUUUGGAGAAUUCAAGUUAAGGAAGAUUUCUAUUGGAUCAGUAUAUGUUUGUAUGGAUUUUAAUCCCUAUUGCUGGUGCACUUCACUUGGGCUUGGAAGCUUUUUUCCCAUUUUCGUAGUAAUGAUCCAUAAAUACUUUGAAUAGUAAACCUCAGGUUCUCCUCCUGCCUUUUGCUAAGUAUAUGUCUUGAUGACAAGCCUUCUGCUGAUGAGCUGUGUUUCUGGACCGAUCAUGGUAGAAGUCAAUUAACGUGUCCCUCACUUGGGGUUUCUCAAGGCUGCACUGAUGAGGAAACUGAAACAGAAAAUCCAGAGUAAAUUCCACCAGGCCACACAGCAAGGUCUGAUAGAGCCAGGAGAGACUUUAUGAAAUCCAGACUCUCACACUAAUGCUCUAUCAGCUAGACCUCCAUGUGAGUCUCCCCAAUGUAGGUAGGAAGUGCUUUCCCUAAAAUGCUCAUAAAGCAAAUCAGAGCAAUGCUGCAUUCCAUGUGAUUUCUAAUUUGAAAUGCAAACAAUUGCCAAUUUGUUUGACUUGUAUUUAUAAUUAUUUCCUUGUGAAUUAC